rnacentral:rRNA from 1 species
GACGAACGCUGGCGGCGUGCUUAACACAUGCAAGUCGAACGGAAAGGCCCUGCUUUUGUGGGGUGCUCGAGUGGCGAACGGGUGAGGAACACGUUAGUAACCUGCCCUUGACUUUGGGAUAACUUCAGGAAACUGGGGCUAAUACCGGAUAGGAGCUCCUGCUGCAUGGGGGGGGUGGGAAAGUUUCGGCGGUUGGGGAUGUACGCGCGGCUCAUCAGCUUGUUGGUGGGGUAGUGGAUUACCAAGGCUUGGACGGGUAGCCGGCCUGGGAGGGUGACCGGCCCCGUUGGGACUGGGAUGCGGCACAGACUCCUCCGGGAGGGAGCAGUGGGGAAUAUUGCCCAGUGGGAGGAAGCCUGAUGCAGCAAAGCCGCGUGGGGGAUGACGGCCUUCGGGUUGUAAACCGAUUUCGCCUGUGCCGAAGCGUGAGUGACGGUAAUCGGUAAAGAAGCCCCGGCUAACUACGUG